rnacentral:rRNA from 1 species
UGCAGUCGAACGGUGAUAUUUAUAUCAUAGUGGCGCACGGGUGCGUAACACGUAUGCAACCUACCUAUUAUUGGGGGAUAGCCUUUGGAAACGGAGAUUAAUACCGCAUAAUACGAUUAACUGGCAUCGGUUGAUUGUUAAAGCAUUUGCGAUAAUAGAUGGGCAUGCGUCCAAUUAGUUAGUUGGUGUGGUAAUGGCUCACCAAGACGAUGAUUGGUAGGGGAUCUGAGAGGAUAAUCCCCCACACUGGCACUGAGAUACGGGCCAGACUCCUACGGGAGGCAGCAGUAGGGAAUAUUGGGCAAUGGGCGGAAGCCUGACCCAGCCAUGCCGCGUGCAGGAAGACGGCGUUAUGCGUUGUAAACUGCUUUUUUAUAGGAAGAAGGAUCCCUUGCGAGGGAAGGUGACGGUACUAUAAGAACAAGCACCGGCUAACUCCGUGCCAGCAGCCGCGGUAAUACGGAGGGUGCAAGCGUUGUCCGGAUUUAUUGGGUUUAAAGGGUGCGUAGGCGGUUUAUUAAGUCAGUGGUGAAAGACGGUCGCUCAACGAUUGCAGUGCCAUUGAUACUGGUAGACUUGAGUGAGAUUGAGGUAGCUGGAAUGGAUAGUGUAGCGGUGAAAUGCAUAGAUAUUAUCCAGAACACCGAUUGCGAAGGCAGGUUACUAAGUCUCAACUGACGCUGAGGCACGAAAGUGUGGGGAUCAAACAGGAUUAGAUACCCUGGUAGUCCACACUGUAAACGAUGAUGACUAACUGUUGGCUUUUG